AAACGACUCUCGGUAUUUUAUAUUUUGCUUCUCGUGUCGAUGAAGAAUGCA
rnacentral:rRNA from 1 species